rnacentral:rRNA from 1 species
GCUUGUCUCAAAGAUUAAGCCAUGCAUGUCUAAGUAUGAACAACUUUAUACUGUGAAACUGCGAAUGGCUCAUUAAAUCAGCUAUUGUUUAUUUGAUAGUACCUCACUACUUGGAUAACCGUAGUAAUUCUAGAGCUAAUACAUGCGAAAAGACGCGACUCACGAAGCGUUGUAUUUAUUAGACUUAAGCCAAUAUUCCUUGUGUCUAUUGCGAUGAUUCAUAAUAACUGAUCGAAUCUCAAAUUUGAGAUAAAUCAUUCAAGUUUCUGCCCUAUCAGCUUUCGAUGGUAGUGUAUUGGACUACCAUGGCAGUAACGGGUAACGAAGAAUUAGGGUUCGAUUUCGGAGAGGGAGCAUGAGAAACGGCUACCACAUCUAAGGAAGGCAGCAGG